rnacentral:rRNA from 1 species
GUGGAUUAGAUACCCUAGUAGUCCACGCGGUAAACGAUGAGAACUAGCUGUGAGGUGUGGGGCAAUUGCUCUGCGCGACGUAGCGAAGCUAACGCGUUAAGUUCUCCGCCUGGGGAGUACGGCCGCAAGGUUAAAACUCAAAGGAAUUGACGGGGGCCCGCACAAGCGGUGGAGCAUGUGGUUUAAUUCGAUGCAACCCGAAGAACCUUACCUACCCUUGACAUCCUUGGAAGGGCGCAGAGAUGUGCCUGUGCCGAAAGGAACCAAGAGACAGGUGCUGCACGGUCGUCGCCAGCU